rnacentral:rRNA from 1 species
GAACGCUAGCUACAGGCUUAACACAUGCAAGUCGAGGGGCAUCAGGAUGUAGCAAUACAUUGCUGGCGACCGGCGCACGGGUGAGUAACACGUAUCCAAUCUGCCUUAUACUCGGGGAUAGCCUUUUGAAAGGGAGAUUAAUACCCGAUAGUAUAAUAAUUUCGCAUGUUAUUAUUAUUAAAGAUUUAUUGGUAUAAGAUGAGGAUGCGUUCCAUUAGCUUGUUGGUAAGGUAACGGCUUACCAAGGCAUCGAUGGAUAGGGGUUCUGAGAGGAAGGUCCCCCACACUGGUACUGAGACACGGACCAGACUCCUACGGGAGGCAGCAGUGAGGAAUAUUGGUCAAUGGGCGAGAGCCUGAACCAGCCAAGUAGCGUGAGGGAUGACGGUUCUAUGGAUUGUAAACCUCUUUUAUAUGGGAAUAAAAGACAUUACGUGUAAUGUUUUGUAUGUACCAUUAUGAAUAAGCAUCGGCUAACUCCGUGCCAGCAGCCGCGGUAAUACGGAGGAUGCGAGCGUUAUCCGGAUUUAUUGGGUUUAAAGGGUGCGUAGGCGGACUGAUAAGUCAGCUGUGAAAGUUUGCGGCUCAACCGUAAAAUUGCAGUUGAUACUGUCAGUCUUGAGUAUAGUAGAGGAAGGCGGAAUUCGUGGUGUAGCGGUGAAAUGCUUAGAUAUCACGAAGAACUCCAAUUGCGAAGGCAGCUUUCUAUGUUAUAACUGACGCUGAUGCACGAAAGUGUGGGUAUCAAACAGGAUUAGAUACCCUGGUAGUCCACACAGUAAACGAUGAAUACUCGCUGUUUGCGAUAUACAGUAAGCGGCCACGCGAAAGCAUUAAGUAUUCCACCUGGGGAGUACGCCGGCAACGGUGAAACUCAAAGGAAUUGAC